rnacentral:rRNA from 1 species
UACGAAGGGGGCUAGCGUUGCUCGGAAUCACUGGGCGUAAAGGGUGCGUAGGCGGGUUUUUAAGUCAGGGGUGAAAUCCUGGAGCUCAACUCCAGAACUGCCUUUGAUACUGAAGAUCUUGAGUUCGGGAGAGGUGAGUGGAACUCCGAGUGUAGAGGUGAAAAUUCGUAGAUAUUCGGAAGAACACCAGUGGCGAAGGCGACUCACUGGCCCCGAUACUGACGCUGAGGCGCGAAAAGCGUGGGGAGCAAACAGG